UGGGGAAUUUUGGACAAUGGGCGAAAGCCUGAUCCAGCAAUGCCGCGUGUGUGAAGAAGGCCUUCGGGUUGUAAAGCACUUUUGUCCGGAAAGAAAUCCUUGGCUCUAAUACAGUCGGGGGAUGACGGUACCGGAAGAAUAAGCACCGGCUAACUACGUGCCAGCAGCCGCGGUAAUACGUAGGGUGCAAGCGUUAAUCGGAAUUACUGGGCGUAAAGCGUGCGCAGGCGGUUUGCUAAGACCGAUGUGAAAUCCCCGGGCUCAACCUGGGAACUGCAUUGGUGACUGGCAGGCUAGAGUAUGGCAGAGGGGGGUUAGAAUUCCACGUGUAGCAGUGAAAUGCGUAGAGAUGUGGAGGAAUACCGAUGGCGAAGGCAGCCCCCUGGGCCAAUACUGACGUUCAUGCACGAAAGCGUGGGGAGCAAACAGGAUUAGAUACCCUGGUAGUCCACGCCCUAAACGAUGUCAACUAGUUGUUGGGGAUUCAUUUCCUUAGUAACGUAGCUAACGCGUGAGGUUGACCGCCUGGGGAGUACGGUCGCAAGAUUAAAACUCAAAUGAAUUGACGGGGUCAUAGCUG
rnacentral:rRNA from 1 species